UUACGCAAUGGAUAGCGCGUUGGACUUCUAAUCCAAAGGUCGUGGGUUUGAAUCCCACUUGGUAAA